rnacentral:rRNA from 1 species
UACGUAGGUGGCGAGCGUUGUCCGGAUUUACUGGGCGUAAAGGGCGUGCAGGCGGUCUGCUAAGUCUAGGGUGAAAGCUCCCGGCUCAACUGGGGGAGGUCCUUGGAUACUGACAGACUUGAGGGAGGCAGAGGAGAAUGGAAUUCCCGGUGUAGUGGUGAUAUGCGUAGAUAUCGGGAGGAACACCAGUGGCGAAGGCGGUUCUCUGGGCCUUACCUGACGCUGAGACGCGAAAGCGUGGGGAGCGAACCGG